UCUCAGCUCCUCAAUAUUAUCUGCUCCUACCUGACUCACUGAGUCCGAAAAAAACGAAGCUAAAUAGUAGACUCGGACUCUCACUGAAAUGGUGUCGGAAUCGGAAUUAAUCUCCCGGCUCCUCAAGCUCUUGGGGGAAUCGG